rnacentral:rRNA from 1 species
CCGCCGGCGACCGGCGCACGGGUGAGUAACACGUAUGCAACCUGGCCGUGACAGAUGGAUAACCGGGAGAAAUCCCGCCUAAUACAACAUAAUGCCGGGAGGGGACAUCCCCUGCCGGCCAAAGGGGGCGACCCCGGUCACGGAUGGGCAUGCGGCGCAUUAGGUAGUUGGUGGGCAACGGCCCACCAAGCCGACGAUGCGUAGGGGUUCUGAGAGGAAGGUCCCCCACAUUGGAACUGAGACACGGUCCAAACUCCUACGGAAGGCAGCAG